UUUAUACGUCGAAUUUUGAUCGCGUCAAAUGCAAUAAUUCAAACAAUAGAUAAUGAGCUUAAUGAAGUUUAUCAUCUCAUUAUCUAUUGUCUUAAUUGCAUUCGACGCGACCAAAAUUCGACGUAUGAA